GCCUUUGUGGUGUAAUAGUCAGCACGCUCGGCGCGUAUUUCGACAGGUCCCUGGUUCGAAUCCCGGCGAGAGCA
rnacentral:tRNA from 1 species